rnacentral:rRNA from 1 species
UGUGUAGGCGGUUGUUUAAGUUUGGUGUGAAAUCUCCCGGCUCAACUGGGAGGGUGCGCCGAAUACUGAAUGACUCGAGUGCGGGAGAGGAAAGUGGAAUUCCUGGUGUAGCGGUGAAAUGCGUAGAUAUCAAGAGGAACACCGGUGGUGUAGACGGCUUUCUGGACCGUAACUGACGCUGAAACACGAAAGCGUGGGUAGCAAACAGGAUUAGAUACCCUGGUAGUCCACGCCCUAAACGAUGCACAUUUGGUGUGGGUCAUUCAGUUGAUCCGUGCCGGAGCUAACGCGUUAAAUGUGCCGCCUGGGGAGUACAGUCGCAAGGCUGAA